AACGAACGCUGGCGGCAUGCCUAACACAUGCAAGUCGAACGAGAUCCUUCGGGGUCUAGUGGCGGACGGGUGAGUAACGCGUGGGGACCUGCCCAGGGGUACGGAAUAACUACGGGAAACUGUAGCUAAUACCGUAUGAUGCCGAAAGGCCAAAGAUUUAUCGCCCUUGGAUGGACCCGCGUUGGAUUAGCUAGUUGGUGAGGUAAUGGCUCACCAAGGCGACGAUCCAUAGCUGGUUUGAGAAGAUGAUCAGCCACACUGGGACUGAGACACGGCCCAGACUCCUACGGGAGGCAGCAGUGGGGAAUAUUGGACAAUGGGGGCAACCCUGAUCCAGCAAUGCCGCGUGAGUGAAGAAGGCCUUAGGGUUGUAAAGCUCUUUCAGAUGGGAAGAUAAUGACGGUACCAUCAGAAGAAGCCCCGGCUAACUCCGUGCCAGCAGCCGCGGUAAU
rnacentral:rRNA from 1 species